rnacentral:tmRNA from 2 species
GCCAGUUCACUGGCUACGGCAAUAAAUUGCGAGCGCAAUAAACCAUUCGGACCCGGGGGCGGUACCCGGCGCCUCCACCA